rnacentral:rRNA from 1 species
UACGUAGGGUGCGAGCGUUAAUCGGAAUUACUGGGCGUAAAGGGUACGUAGGUGGUUUCUUAAGUCAGAGGUGAAAGGCUACGGCUCAACCGUAGUAAGCCUUUGAAACUGGGAAACUUGAGUGCAGGAGAGGAGAGUGGAAUUCCUAGUGUAGCGGUGAAAUGCGUAGAUAUUAGGAGGAACACCAGUUGCGAAGGCGGCUCUCUGGACUGUAACUGACACUGAGGCACGAAAGCGUGGGGAGCAAACAGGAUUAGAUACCCCCGUAGUCCCUGAGCGGG